UAGGAUAGGUGGGAGGCUUUGAAGUGUGGACGCCAGUCUGCAUGGAGCCGGCCUUGAAAUACCACCCUUUAAUGUUUGAUGUUCUAACGUUGGCCCCUGAUCGGGGUUGCGGACAGUGUCUGGUGGGUAGUUUGACUGGGGCGGUCUCCUCCUAAAGAGUAACGGAGGAGCACGAAGGUUGGCUAAUCCUGGUCGGACAUCAGGAGGUUAGUGCAAUGGCAUAAGCCAGCUUGACUGCGAGCGUGACGGCGCGAGCAGGUGCGAAAGCAGGUCAUAGUGAUCCGGUGGUUCUGAAUGGAAGGGCCAUCGCUCAACGGAUAAAAGGUACUCCGGGGAUAACAGGCUGAUACCGCCCAAGAGUUCAUAUCGACGGCGGUGUUUGGCACCUCGAUGUCGGCUCAUCACAUCCUGGGGCUGAAGUAGGUCCCAAGGGUAUGGCUGUUCGCCAUUUAAAGUGGUACGCGAGCUGGGUUUAGAACGUCGUGAGACAGUUCGGUCCCUAUCUGCCGUGGGCGCUGGAGAACUGAGGGGGGCUGCUCCUAGUACGAGAGGACCGGAGUGGACGCAUCACUGGUGUUCGGGUUGUCAUGCCAAUGGCACUGCCCGGUAGCUAAAUGCGGAAGAGAUAAGUGCUGAAAGCAUCUAAGCACGAAACUUGCCCCGAGAUGAGUUCUCCCUGAGACUUAGAGUCUCCUGAAGGAACGUUGAAGACGACGACGUUGAUAGGCCGGGUGUGUAAGCGCAGCGAUGCGUUGAGCUAACCGGUACUAAUGAACCGUGAGGCUUAACCUUACAACGCCGAAG
rnacentral:rRNA from 1 species